GGGAUCUUGCGCAUGGGCGAANCCUGNCGCACGACGCCGCGUGGGGGAUGAAGCUUCUCGGAGUGUAAACCCCUUUCGACCCGGACGAAACGCCCGUAAGGGCUUGACGGUACGGGUAUAAGAAGCCCCGGCUAACUACGUGCCAGCAGCCGCGGUAAGACGUAGGGGGCCAGCGUUGCUCGGAAUUACUGGGCGUAAAGGGUUCGUAGGCGGUGUGGCAAGUCGGGAGUGAAAUCUCUGGGCUUAACUCAGAGGCUGCUUCCGAAACUGCCGUGCUAGAGUGCGGGAUAGGCGAGUGGAAUUGCAGGUGUAGCGGUGAAAUGCGUAGAUAUCUGCAGGAACACCCGUGGCGAAGGCGGCUCGCUGGACCGUAACUGACGCUGAGGAACGAAAGCUAGGGGAGCAAACAGGAUUAGAUACCCUGGUAGUCCUAGCCCUAAACGAUCAGGACUUGGGGUGCAUCCCGUUGGGGGUGCGUCCCGUAGCUAACGCGUUAAGUCCUGCGCCUGGGGAGUACGGUCGCAAGGCUGAAACUCAAAAAAAUUGACGGA
rnacentral:rRNA from 1 species